rnacentral:lncRNA from 1 species
ACAAACUCGGUUCAAAAAAACCACAAAAUCUGAAUUGACAACAAAGAAUAUUUAAAACUUCCCAAUCUGAAACCUCUGUAAAACAGAGUAACCCAUGAUAACCUACAAUUCCUUAUUCUAAUAUUCAUCCAUGAAACCAUAACUCCAACACUACAGACCCAAUAUGAGUGUGCAGAUUUAAUCAUGUAUGUAUUACUUCUUAGAAAUACGUAAGGGGAAAAAUUAAUUUUGCCGAGAGUAUUCAGUUUGAACUCAGGAAUAGAGCAUAAAAACCAAAAAUAAAA